rnacentral:rRNA from 1 species
AGUGAACGCUGGCGGCGUGCCUAAUACAUGCAAGUCGAACGGAGAUUAAGUAGCUUGCUAUUUAAUCUUAGUGGCGCACGGGUGAGUAAUAUAUAGCUAACUUGCCCAUUACUAAGGGACAACAGUUGGAAACGACUGCUAAUACCUUAUACUCCGUAUCUAUAUAAGUAGAUACGGGAAAGUUUUUCGGUAAUGGAUAGGGCUAUAUCGUAUCAGCUAGUUGGUAAGGUAAUGGCUUACCAAGGCUAUGACGCGUAACUGGUCUGAGAGGAUGAUCAGUCACACUGGAACUGAGACACGGUCCAGACUCCUACGGGAGGCAGCAGUAGGGAAUAUUGCUCAAUGGGGGAAACCCUGAAGCAGCAACGCCGCGCGGAGGAUGACACUUUUCGGAGCGUAAACUCCUUUUCUUGGGAAAGAAUUAUGACGGUACCCAAGGAAUAAGCACCGGCUAACUCCGUG